rnacentral:sRNA from 12 species
CUUGUGGAGAGUAUACAACGAUGUGAGUAGUAUUUAAGUAAACUUAAAUACGAAAGCAUACUCGAUGAAACAAGAA